AGAGUUUGAUCCUGGCUCAGGAUGAACGCUAGCGGCAGGCUUAAUACAUGCAAGUCGAGGGGCAGCAUGAUUGUAGCAAUACAAUUGAUGGCGACCGUGCAAACGGGUGCGGAACACGUACACAACCUUCCAAUAAGUGGGGAAUAGCCCAGAGAAAUUUGGAUUAAUACCCCGUAACAUAGCGAUGUGGCAUCACAUUGCUAUUAUAGAUUUUUCGCUUAUUGAUGGGUGUGCGGCUGAUUAGAUAGUUGGCGGGGUAACGGCCCACCAAGUCUACGAUCAGUAGCUGAUGUGAGAGCAUGAUCAGCCACACGGGCACUGAGACACGGGCCCGACUCCUACGGGAGGCAGCAGUAAGGAAUAUUGGACAAUGGACGCAAGUCUGAUCCAGCCAUGCCGCGUGAAGGAUUAAGGUCCUCUGGAUUGUAAACUUCUUUUAUAAGGGACGAAAAAAGGCUUUUCUAAGUCGUCUGACGGUACCUUAUGAAUAAGCACCGGCUAACUCCGUGCCAGCAGCCGCGGUAAUACGGAGGGUGCAAGCGUUAUCCGGAUUCACUGGGUUUAAAGGUGCGUAAGCGGCAGUAAAUCACUGG
rnacentral:rRNA from 1 species